AUGAAAUAAUGCAUUGGCCCAUUGCCUGAUGAAGAAGAUGAGAGAAGUGAAGAUUAUGUAUGAUGAAAUAUUACAGAUCAUGCUUGGCACCUUAGCAUAUAUCCAAGGUCCAAACUCGGAUGCUACACAAGGAUUUCUUAUGCGAAGGUUAGCUUCAGCAGAACAAUAAUAUUGAUGAUGACGAUGAUGAGCUAGAGAAGCGAUGCACAGGGUAACCAUCCUGCCACCACCAGGGAGCUCUUGGUUGACUGCAAUCAGCGAGGCCUUGUCAACUUGCUGAUACCACUUAACCUCUAUGGCCUCUCAUUGCUCAAGAUGGAUAGUUUUGUGCAGGGACGGAGUUUGGUUUCAUGCAUCUUGCAACAAAGCUUCCAGUCGGGCGUCCUGCUUCACAUUUGGCAAAGGUGCUUCCAUGGUUUCUCCGGUCUCUCAAGCGCAGCAUAACCUGCUUGCAUGAGUUUUUCCCUGCUGCUCGCGCUACCCCUAUGUACAACAACAAUGUUCCGAUGAUCUCUCCUGCUGACACUGAUCUCCCAUCUCCUCAUCUUAUGCGCCAUCUCUAUGCUGGUUGAUCAGUGGCACUAGACGUUGAUGCUCACGCCGUUGUCAGAAGCGCACUGAGCUACUCGACCUGUCACUCACUGUCAGGACCGACAAAGUGCAUACUGAAGAUGACGAGGGGAUGGGCUAGGCCAAUGUGUAUAUUUUUUAAUUGGUAUCUCCGCGAUAUUAAUAUAUUUCCCUUGUGGAAAAAAAUAUAUGUCUUUCUAGAGAUUUCAAUAUAGACUACAUACGGAUGUAUAUAGAGUUAUAGACGUAUUUUACAGUGUAGAUUCACCCAUUUUG